CAAAAUGAGGGAUAUGAGAGUGUGUACCUUAUCUUGGUGGGUGCAUGACUCUUUCUACUACUUCAAGGCAAUUGUCCCAUUAGGACCCAUCGUGAAUCCAACUCUUGGAAGUAGAAAUAUGCUGAUUUCUACUGUGGUAAGAUAGUUUUCACUCUCAAUUUUUUUAAUAAAAAAAUCUUGGCUCGCGGGGCACAUUAAAUAACAAUCUGGAGUAGGCAUGAUGAUUAAUUAGUAAUUAUGAUGUGCAGUUUAAACAUGAAUUUUGAGGAUGUAGAAAAAAUAUUUUGUCAAUAAUUCAUAUGCAAAAUUGAUUCCAGUAUUCCAAAACAAUUGAUAUUAUUGGUUUUUGCUUUUCUAUCAGCAACAAAUAAAUAAUCUAAUUUUGUUUUCAAACCUGCUGUUGAGGGUUUGCAUCAAUAUUUAUAAAAAGUCUCUCCUUGAAUAAUGAUGUAUUUUACAUGCAAUUCAAAGAUUGGGCCAGAUUUUGAAUUUCAAUGUAAUUGAUUCCAGUAAUGGGGUAAGGAGUCACAAAAAGGAAGACGAAAAAAACAAACAUAGGUGAUUGGAAAAAUGGCAGGCUUGUUGGUUUCGACAGAUGAAAACCAGGAAAUUGAAUGGAAAGUAAGGUACGUGCAUAUUCAUGUUGUUUGAUUUGUCUCUUGAUGCUUGGAAAGUGUAGACAGAAGAAUGUGGAAAGGUACACUAAGCACAGCCCAAUGUGAUGGUUUAUAAGGUAGAAUAAAAUUAGUUGACUGAUCAAUUCAUGAAAGGAUACAUGUUGAGAUGUUCUUGUAGAUGAUGUAGAUGAUGAAUUAAUUCCACAGAAUAAAUUUUUUCUUGUGUUGUUGAUUUACAAUGUUCUGAUAAAGUUCAGCAAGCCUUAACAUAGGUCUUUUGGUUCAGUUUCUC
rnacentral:lncRNA from 1 species